UCCCCCUUAGCUCAGUGGUAGAGCGCUUCACUAGUAUGGCGAUAGGAAACUUCGGCUAUGAAGAGGUCAGUCGUUCAAGUCGGCUAGGGAAAA